rnacentral:misc_RNA from 1 species
GGACUACUAGGGUAUCUAAUCCUGUUCGCUCCCCAUGCUUUCGCUUCUCAGCGUCAGUAGUGGCCCAGAGACCUGCCUUCGCCAUCGGUGUUCCUCCUGAUAUCUGCGCAUUUCACCGCUACACCAGGAAUUCCAGUCUCCCCUACCACACUCUAGUCUGCCCGUACCCACUGCAAGUCCGGGGUUGAGCCCCGGAUUUUCACAGCAGACGCGACAAACCGCCUACAAGCUCUUUACGCCCAAUAAUUCCGGACAACGCUCGCACCCUACGUAUUACCGCGGCGGCUGGCACCC